rnacentral:tRNA from 2 species
ACUUUCAAAGGACAGAAGUA